UGGGACCAUGACCUGAGCCGAAGGCAGAUGCUUAACGACUGAGCCACCCAGGCACCCCAAACCCUAUGCCUUUUGACAUUUCAGCUAGUAUGUUAGACGAGAAGUCUGCUGCAGAAAUAUCGUUACCAACAUUGUCAGGGAAAAAAAUGGGCUAGCAAAGAAUUAAAGAACACACGUCCACUGAACUUGAUGAAAUAAUUUUUGAGGCUAAGCCCGUGAAAUCUUUACAGUGAAACUGUAGAGACACUGGAGAGUUCUCCUUUUGCAGAUUUUGAUUCCGUUGGUUCAUGCAGGCACAUCCUGGGGGAGCUGAGACUUUGUUAAGCCCCUAACACAUACCCAGGAAGAAAGAUAAAUGUAGGUGUUUACAUCAAGGUGUUAGACAUGUGAUCCAAGAAGUCGGCAAGAAUGUAGCAAAGUAAUUGUAGUGAUGGUUUAAAAAAAGUAAAAGAAGCAGGGAAAGCUUCAGAAGCAGGUUAUGUGGAAAAAAAAAACAAAAAACAUCAGAAUGUGGCCAUUUGUGACUUGUCUACCCAAGCGCGAGCCACCAGCCAUUCUCACCCGGAUCCCUGCAAGAAUGUCCUUGCUGUUUCUCCCUGUCUCAGAUGUGCCCUUCCAUUCUGUUGGCAACACAACCGGAACGAGCCUUUCAAAAGGUGCACGCAUGAUAAUUUUGAAGAGCAGAGAGAUGGACAAAUACGACUUGAUUUACACAUCUUUUCAAAGGCACUACGAAGGUUCUCUCAGGUGGUAUCACGAUCACGAUCAUGAUCAUCAUUAUCAUCAUCAUCACCUGGUGGUGGUUCCUAUACUUUGCAACAGAGAGCCAGUUUGCAAGCCACAGUGAGAGAAGAAAGACCCUCACUGGAGGUGGCAUUGCCUAGACAUCCUGCUAACUGUGCCACUUCUUGUGGUCACCUGGAAGCAGCGGCGUAACUUUAACUGGAAAAAAAUCUGGGCAUGGAAGGGAGCAUCUGUCAUGCUUGACAACACAUGGCUUCUUCCUUUGGUGGAGACAUUGCAUGCUUCAUUACAGUCUACGUUGGUAUCAAAGACUCGGCCAAAAUCUUGAAAGGAGUCUUGUCUAGUGUCAUAAAAGCUGGUCUUUUCAGGAGUUUUUGUAACAAAAUGCAUGCAUAAUAUUAUGUUCAUCUUGUUUAAACACAAGUGUGUUGCCUCUCCAGAAAACAAAUCCCCAACCUCUUGCUUGAAUAUUGAACAGAAUUUUCACCUUUUGGAGGGAAUGAAAAGCCCCCUUGCAGAACAAUGUGGCAGCAAAUUCUUUCACCACUGGACUUACUUGGAGGGCCUUACUGGCCAACUGAAUGAAGCAGAUCCAAGAGGAAGAGAUGCACCUUGCACAAGGGAAGGAGGAAAGGCUUGCCUCCUGUCCUGGCAACAGCCCAGCCAAUGAGAGACUCUCACAACUCAGCCAAUGAGAAGCCACUAUACUUAGAACUCCCAGUUUACUCCAAUGGACUCUUUGUUUAUAAGAGGCCCACUAACUCCUCCCCUUUCCUCUAUUAAAAAAAAACAACAACCCCAAACUCCUUUCCUUUGUUCUGAGGACUUGUGGUAGUUUGCUUGUCUAGAGUAAGGUCGUUUUUGCUGGUGAAACACCUGGCAGUUUUAUUGUUUAAGGUUAAUGUUAUUUGGUGAUCAGAAGUGGGAUCCAGAGAAGACUGGUGCCGGCGCCCACAGAGCCAGCUGAGCUCACUGCUUUCUCGGGGACCCUGGAGUCUGAGGAGAAAAACCUCUAAGAAAUGGGAUCCCAGUCAUCAAAAUGCUUGACGAUAACUCCUACUGGAACGGCUAAGGAAACGGACCAACUUAACCAGAACCUGCUUCCGGAAGGAAUCAGACCAAAGGACCAGGAUGGAAUGGGAAAUUUUGUGCACUUCAGAUUUAGUUAAUUUGGCAAACCUGCUUGCUCAUAUCCUAGAUGAGCCCACUAAAAGACUGCUAAAGUUCUCAAAUUUUUCAGCUCCAGCGGGUGAAGGCCCCUAACCCCUUCUAGUUUCUCCUAUUAUUGCAAAGAGCCAGGACAUUGGUUUAAGAUGUUACCAACUUAAGCAUUCCAGGCAUCUUCCGUGCCCUCUGCUCAGUCUUUCCAGUGGCCUCCCAAUUCCCAAUGAUGGGCUUCAAGGAACUUCCCAGUCCUUACUAUUAGUGGCUGGGAGAAACCAUUCUCCAGAUUAAGAAUGAAUCUGUCUCUGUCCCUGGUUAUACUGGAGCUACACUGUCAGUGCCUCCGGAUAUUAAGACAGUUCAAAUACUGGGGGUCUCUUAAUAAACCUCAACAGGUUCCUGUCUCUGAAUCUAUUCCCUUUUGUCUAGGUCCUUUGAGAGAGAUGCACCCUUUUCUCCUUAGUUCCUCAGGCCCUAUUUAUUAGGCCAAGAUUUCUUAGAAGAGUAUCUUGCCAGAAUUUCUUUCUCCCAAGAGAGGAAAAUAAUUCUAGAAUUUGACAGUAGUAACCAAAAUAGCCAACCAGGGGAAUUAAAUGACCCUUUGACGUCUUUUGAUUCCAUCUCUGAUGUUGCACCAUAGCUGAGUCUAGGGAUCCUUAUCACUGAUUCCUGUUGGAUCAGCUACCAUCUUCUUUAUGGGCAGAAUCCUCAACUGUUAUUGGCAGAAUCCACUGUGCACCUCCCAUCAAGAUUCAGAUAGAUCCCUCAAAACCGCUUACCGAAAUUAAUUAAUAGCCUAUAAAGAAGUCCUUCAAGACAGCGAGCCAAUAUAGAAGAUUAUAAAGCUCAAGGUUUCAUUAUCACCUGUACUAGUCCCUGUAAACACCCCAUUUUAUCUGUGAGAAAAUCCAAUGGCUGAAGAUGGAGGUUUGUCCUGGACCUACUAGCAAUAAAUAACAUUGUUAUCCCUCAAUACCCUGUUUUCCUAACCCCCGUAUGCUCCUGACAUCCACUCCCACUGAAAGCAUUUUUUUCAUUGCAAAUGAUAUGCUCAGUGCAUUUUUAGUAUUCCUGUUGAUAAGGAUGGCCAGUAUCUUUUUGCUUUCACUUGGUAAGAACAGAAAUACACCUGGACAGUAAUGCCCCCCGGGGUUUCACAGAGUCUUUACUUUUCACAA